AAGUCAUCCAGAUCCAUCAUGCCAAGCAACUUGAUGGGGUUUUUUUUCUUUCAGCAAUCUUGUAGGUUUUUUUUCUAUGUUUUAUCCAAGUCUAAAUAUAGAAGGAUAGUAUUUUCCAGAAGAAUAUUUCAUUUGCACUUCUCUAAAAAAAAAAAGAAGAGAAACACAUAAUAAAACAAAUUCAUGUACCUUCAAGUGUUAAGAUCUUAAAAUUGAUAAUAAAUAUUGUGGAACACAUACAGAGAUUCCAUUUCAUAUUCUGAUUAUCAUUAGCAAAACUAAUAUCAUACUGUUGUGUGAAAUUAUUUAUUUACAUUUCUUGUCACAUGUCAGAUAUGUACUCUGACCGAUUGCCAAGUCAAUAGCUGCUGUGUUAAAUAAUAUUGCUGUGCUAACACCCCAUAUUUUCUGCUGUGUAUGUUAUAAAAACUCGUCAUUUC
rnacentral:sRNA from 1 species